GGGGAUUUAGCUCAGUGGUAGAGCGCUUGCCUUGGCAAGCACAAGGCCCUGGGUUCGGUCCCAGCUCCG
rnacentral:tRNA from 1 species